UACGGAGGGUGCAAGCGUUAUCCGGAUUCACUGGGGUUAAAGGGUGCGUAGGCGGGUAGAUAAGUCAGUGGUGAAAUCUCCGAGCUUAACUCGGAAACUGCCAUUGAUACUAUUUAUCUUGAAUAUUGUGGAGGUAAGCGGAAUAUGUCAUGUAGCGGUGAAAUGCUUAGAUAUGACAUAGAACACCAAUUGCGAAGGCAGCUUACUACACAAUGAUUGACGCUGAGGCACGAAAGCGUGGGGAUCAAACAGG
rnacentral:rRNA from 1 species